GUACUGUUAGAGAUUAGAGACAGGACUGGGUGUUCAGGUACUGUUAGAGAUUAGAGACAGGGCUGGGUGUUCAGGUACCUUGAGAGAUUAGAGACAGGACUGGGUGUUCAGGUACCGUUAGAGAUUAGAGACAGGACUGGGUGUUCAGGUACCGUUAGAGAUUAGAGACAGGGCUGGGUGUUCAGGUACCUUGAGAGAUUAGAGACAGGGCUGGGUGUUCAGGUACCGUUAGAGAUUAGAGACAGGGCUGGGUGUUCAGGUACCUUGAGAGAUUAGAGACAGGGCUGGGUGUUCAGGUACCGUUAGAGAUUAGAGACAGG